GCCGGUAUGGCCUGUUUUCCUAGUGGAACUUCCUACUGAAUUGCUUUCUCCAUUUUCUUUUAUGUUGUCUUAAAGAUUUUGUCCAUGAAUUUCACAAAUGGUAUAUUUAUUUGUGGUUUCAGGGCUUGAAGUUCAAAGAUGUGGUCAUUUACUUCUCUCAAAAGGAGUGGGAAUGCUUGCACUCUGCUCAGAAGGAUUUGUACCGAGAUGUAAUGUUGGAAAAUUACGGCAACCUGGUCUUACUGGGUAACUUUAUCUCCCCCCCGUCACACCUCCCGCCCCGCCAAACACAGAAUUGGCCUUCUGGAAUUCUUACGUUCUUUUUUCUGAGUUUGUCACGAGUGCUUUUCAAGUACCUGGAUGAGUUAAUGUUUCUUGCUCACCAAAAGAAUGGUUUGUCUCUUGUGAAGUUGGAAAUUGGCUGUUCCAGCAGGCACCUUUAUCUUCCCUUUAUGGAAAUUUUCAUACCUCCCUUCUUGGAGCUGUGAUUUGAUGAAGUGGAAAUGAAUGGUUAAGUGGAAUCACAUAUUGCAAACUUGAGUUUAUAAUUAGACAAGAAAGGAAUUAAUGUUGAUUUAUUGUGGUGCUCUGACCCUCACUUCUUCUUCUGACCCUUAAUCUACCUGCUCCUCUUUCUUGAUAAUUAUUAGGGACUGAUUUUUAAUUCUGACACCCACAACAAAACCUUGUUCCCUUUGUUUUUGAGCAGGGCUUUCUGAUACUAAGCCAAAUGUGAUCUCCUUAUUGGAGCAGAAGAAAGAGCCCUGGAUGAUUAAGAGGAAGGAGACAAAAGAAUGGUGUCCAGAUUGGGAGUUUGGAAGAGAAACCAAGAAUUUAUCUCCAAAGGAAAACAUUUAUGAAAUCAGAUCACCGCAGCAGGAGAAGGCCAGAGUUAUCAGAGAAAUCAGAUGCCAGGUGGAGAGACAACAGGGUCAUCAGGAGGGACAUUUCAGACAAGCUGUAAUACCAUUUACUUCCGUGCAGUGCACAGCCCAUAGAGAAUAUCAGUGGCUUCAUACUGGAGAGAAAUGCUGUGAAUGCAGGAAAUGUAAGAAUGCUUUCAGGUGCCAGUUGUGUCCUAUUCAACAUGAAAUAAUUCAUAAUAAGGAAAAAGAACCUGAAUGUAGAGAAUGUAGGAAAAUCUUUAAUAGUGGAUCAGACUUGAUUAAGUAUCAGACGCUUCAUGAAAGCAAAAAACAUAGUGAAAAUAACAAAUGUGCCUUUAAUCGUGAUUCUGGAAUUACUCAACCUCAGAGCAUUAAUACUGGAAACAAACCUCAUAUAUGUAAGGAAUGUGGGAAAGGCUUUCAUUCCAGCUCACAAAUUAGUCAGCAUCAGAGGAUGCAUCUUGGUGAGAAACCCUAUAAGUGUAGGGAGUGUGGGAAAGCCUUUCCAUCCACCGCACAGCUUAAUCUACAUCAGAGGAUCCACACUGAUGAGAAAUACUAUGAAUGUAAGGAGUGUGGGAAGGCCUUUACCCGUCCCUCACACCUUUUUCGACAUCAAAGAAUCCAUACGGGUGAGAAACCCCAUAAAUGUAAGGAAUGUGGAAAGGCUUUUCGUUAUGACACACAACUGAGCCUUCAUCAGAUAAUCCAUACUGGUGAAAGACGCUACGAAUGCAGGGAGUGUGGAAAGGUGUACAGUUGUGCCUCACAGCUGAGUCUACAUCAAAGAAUUCAUACUGGUGAGAAACCCCAUGAAUGUAAGGAAUGUGGGAAAGCCUUUCUCUGAUUCACAUCUUAUUCGACAUCAGAGUGUCCAUACUGGGGAGAAACCCUAUAAGUGUAAGGAAUGUGGGAAGUCCUUUCGUCGUGGCUCAGAACUUACCCGACAUCAGAGAGCUCACACUGGUGAGAAACCCUAUGAGUGUAAGGAAUGUGGAAAGGCCUUUACUUGUAGCACAGAACUUGUUCGACAUCAAAAAGUUCACACUGGGGAGAGACCUCAUAAGUGUAAGGAAUGUGGGAAGGCUUUCAUUCGAAGGUCAGAACUCAUGCAUCAUGAGAGAAGUCACACUGGUGAGAAACCCUACGAGUGUAAGGAGUGUGGGAAGGCCUUUGGUCGUGGCUCAGAACUUAGUCGACACCAGAAAAUUCAUACUGGUGAGAAACCAUAUGAAUGUCAGCAGUCUGGAAAGGCUUUUAUUCGGGCCUCACACCUUAGUCAACAUCAAAGAAUUCAUUCACGACAGAGGAGUGAAUGAAGAAAUGAGGGAUGGCUCAGAAUUUGAUUGACAUGAGAAAGUUCAUACUGAUUUAGAAAAAAAAAACCUAUGAUUCUAAGUGUGAGACACCUUAUAAAUGUUAGGAAUUAGCAGGGAUUUAUUUCUGUUUCAGAAUUUAUUACACAUCAUGAUACAACUGGUGAAAAAUUGAAGAACUCCAUGAAUGUAAAGAAAGUAGGGAGGCCUUUUUGGUGGCUCAGAACCAAGUCAACCUCAGGGAAUUCAUAAUGGGGGAGAGGAGGGCAGUGAAUGUGCUGAGAGGAGUUAAUCAUUCAGACCUUUAUCAGCAGCAGAGUCAUUAGCCCUUAGGGGAAAUCAGAUGAUUCAAAAUAUAAAUGCAGACCGGGCCAGUGGCUCCCGCCUGUAAUCCCAGAACUUUGGGAGGCUGAGGUGGGUGGAUCACAAGGUCAGGAGAUAGAGACCAUCCUGGCCAACAUGGUGAAACCCCGUCUGUACUAAAAUGCAAAAAAUUAGCUGGGCAUGGUGGCGCGCAUCUGUAAUCCCAGCUACUUGGGAGGCUGAGGCAGGGGAAUCACUUGAAGCCGGGAGGCAGAGGUUGCAGUGAGCUAAGAUCGAUCCUCUGCAUUCCAGCCUGGCGACAGAGCAAGACUUCAUCUAAAAAAAAAAAAAAAUUAUUAUUAUUAUUAUUAUACACACACACAAACACACACGCCGGGCGCAGUGACUCACACCUGUAAUCUCAGAACUUUGGGAGGCUGAGGUGAGUGGAUUGCUUGAGUCCUGGAGUUUGAGACCAACAUGGGCAACAUGGUGAAACGCCGUCUCUACAAAAAAUAUUAAAAAAAUUAGCCAGGGAUGGUGGUGCAUGCCUGUAAUCCCAGCUACUUGGGAGGCUGAGGCAGGAGGAUUGCUUAAGCCCAGGAGACAGAGGUUGCAGUGAGCCAAGAUCAUGCCAUUGCACAGCAGCCUGGGUGACAGAGCAAGACUCUUGUCUCAAAAAAAA
rnacentral:sRNA from 1 species